GGCAGACAGCUCCGACGCAGACUACGGACCUCUCCAGGUCUCAGCCGUCAAAGACCCUGUCCGGUAGGAAACACUAGCCGGGGAUCAUGAGUGGCUGUCGAGUGUUCAUUGGGAGACUAAAUCCCGCAGCGAGGGAGAAAGAUGUGGAAAGAUUCUUCAAGGGUUACGGACGGAUCAGAGAUAUUGAUUUGAAAAGAGGUUUUGGUUUUGUGGAAUUUGAGGACCCAAGGGAUGCAGAUGACGCUGUUUAUGAACUUGAUGGGAAGGAACUUUGCAGUGAAAGGGUUACUAUUGAACAUGCUCGGGCUCGGUCUCGAGGUGGAAGAGGUAGAGGACGAUACUCCGACCGUUUUAGCAGUCGCAGACCUCGAAAUGAUAGACGAAAUGCUCCACCUGUAAGAACAGAAAAUCGACUUAUAGUUGAGAAUUUAUCCUCAAGAGUCAGCUGGCAGGAUCUCAAAGAUUUCAUGAGACAAGCUGGGGAAGUAACCUUUGCGGAUGCACAUCGACCUAAACUAAAUGAAGGGGUAGUUGAGUUUGCCUCUUAUGGUGACUUAAAGAAUGCUAUUGAGAAACUUUCUGGAAAGGAAAUUAAUGGGAGAAAAAUCAAAUUAAUUGAAGGCAGCAAAAGACACAGGUACUCUUUCGUUUAUUUUUAAGCCAAAAGUCUUACUUGCUGGCUUUUAGAGCUCUGUCAUGCAGGUUAAUUUCUUCUCUCUCUUUCCUCCUCCCCAUUUUUUCAUAGCAG
rnacentral:lncRNA from 1 species